rnacentral:rRNA from 1 species
GAUGAACGCUGGCGGCGUGCCUAAUACAUGCAAGUCGAGCGAACAGACGAGGAGCUUGCUCCUCUGACGUUAGCGGCGGACGGGUGAGUAACACGUGGAUAACCUACCUAUAAGACUGGGAUAACUUCGGGAAACCGGAGCUAAUACCGGAUAAUAUAUUGAACCGCAUGGUUCAAUAGUGAAAGACGGUUUUGCUGUCACUUAUAGAUGGAUCCGCGCCGCAUUAGCUAGUUGGUAAGGUAACGGCUUACCAAGGCAACGAUGCGUAGCCGACCUGAGAGGGUGAUCGGCCACACUUGAACUGAGACACGGUCCAGACUCCUACGGGAGGCAGCAGUAGGGAAUCUUCCGCAAUGGGCGAAAGCUUGACGGAGCAACGCCGCGUGAGUGAUGAAGGUCUUCGGAUCGUAAAACUCUGUUAUUAGGGAAGAACAAAUGUGUAAGUAACUAUGCACGUCUUGACGGUACCUAAUCAGAAAGCCACGGCUAACUACGUG